UACGGGGGGAGCAAGCGUUGUUCGGAUUUACUGGGCGUAAAGGGCGCGUAGGCGGCCACCGCAAGUCGACUGUGAAAUCUCCGGGCUUAACCCGGAAAGGUCAGCCGAUACUGCGGGGCUAGAGUGCAGAAGGGGCAACUGGAAUUCUCGGUGUAGCGGUGAAAUGCGUAGAUAUCGAGAGGAACACCUGCGGCGAAGGCGGGUUGCUAGGCUGACACUGACGCUGAUGUGCGAAAGCUAGGGGAGCGAACGGG
rnacentral:rRNA from 1 species